rnacentral:snoRNA from 1 species
AAUCCAUGGUAUAUGCAUUGCAAUAAAAAUGAUUUGAAGCGAUCCCAUACUUCAUGAAAAGAUUCAGCAUUCUCUUGAUAAAAAUUAGAAAUUUUAGCUCUUAGUUC